rfam:Myotis davidii contig152776, whole genome shotgun sequence.
GCCAGUGUGGCUCAGUGGUGGAGCAUCAGCCUAUGAACCUGGAGGUCAGGGUCCGAUUCCCAGUCAGGGCA